rnacentral:rRNA from 1 species
GAAUAUUGGACAAUGGGGGAAACCCUGAUCCAGCGACGCCGCGUGGGUGAAGAAGGCCUGCGGGUUGUAAAGCACUUUCAGUGGGGAGGAAGGCUUAGUAGUUAAUAACUGCUAGGAUUGACGUUACCCACAGAAGAAGCACCGGCUAACUCUGUGCCAGCAGCCGCGGUAAUACAGAGGGUGCAAGCGUUAAUCGGAAUUACUGGGCGUAAAGGGUGCGUAGGUGGUUUUGUAAGUCAGAUGUGAAAGCCCUUGGCUUAACCUGGGAACGGCAUUUGAAACUACGAGACUAGAGUAUGGUAGAGGGAAGUGGAAUUUCCGGUGUAGCGGUGAAAUGCGUAGAUAUCGGAAGGAACACCAGUGGCGAAGGCGACUUCCUGGACCAUAACUGACACUGAGGCACGAUAGCGUGGGGAGCAAAC